UGCAUGGACGAGACGUGAACCAAGUGUGUGCAAUAUAUACAUUGUCCAAUUCCACCUGCCCCAUUGUCCAGAAGCUAAAAUAUCUUAACGUCCCGUGUGUGGUCUGCCGUUUCUUCUUUAUAUUCAAACGGAAUUGGGGUUAAAACGAUAACGGGAUGAGAGCUAGAAAAAAAAGAGAUAAAAGCCAUUUCUAUAAACGAUUAUUUUUUCCUUUUUCAUAUACAUAAAUAUUGAUUUAUCCGUGUUCUGCAAGCUGCGUUGACGUCUCUUAUUAUUAUUAUUUUUUAACUGUCUCUUUUGAUAUAUUCUUUUCUCCCAUAACGCGGUAGUGGGCGCUCUAACUUGGGCUUUUGAAUUCAAUAAUUUUUUUUUUUUAUUUGAUACGUUCAGUUUUUGUCAAUGUCCCCGUUCGAGACAAAAAUAUUGUUUCUCUUUGUAUUUUUUUGUUCAUGCCCUCCCUUCCUUGAAAUUGUCGGAUCGUUUUCUAUAGUGUACAUUGUUCGACCAGUUGAUGAAUCCAUUUAUUAUCUCUCCCCCCAUUCAAUCCAAUGUUGUGUUGUGCGCUCCCCGAAAAAUUGACAACAUUGAUGAAGUGAUGGAUAACGACGUUUUGAAGAAAGGAACAAAAACAUUGACCCAAAUGAAACAAACAAAUGAAAAUCUAACCCAUUCAACUUGUAAUAUCUGCUCCCGAAAGAACGACGCAAAAUUAAACGAGAUAGUCUUGAAUCUUCUUGAAUUCCACCGUCGUCGUGUUCGUUUGUCCUUUUAGAUGGCUUAGCUAAUCGAUAACUCGUUAAGAGGGAACUUGUAGGUAUUCAUUAUUCUAGUCGUGCUGACGGCUGUUAAUUGUUCCGUGCAAGUUUUACCGCACAGGUUUUAGCGGCCGUGAUGUCAGCCCUUUUCCGUAGGCUUACACGGAUGUUUGCCGUUGGUCUGCAUAACGAACGCCACCGUGAUUAAACGAGGGGAUUGAAGAAAAACGUGUCGGAUCCCUGUUCGUUAAUUGGAUUCUUUCAUACACGACCGACAAUAUAUUGGAGGCAGCAGUGAUCUACUACUUUCAACAAUGGCUUGUGCACGAUUGUAUUUGCGGGAUACUAAAUCUUUGGCGUUGUUCGUAUUUCUUUUGCAAAUGUUUAGGUUAAGCUAUACACACGUGAGAGCGUUUCGUUCGUGUCUGGGAUGAAGAGUGGACUAACUGUAGCCGGUGACAGGUCUAGAAAUGAAUCCUCAAGGAACUGAACUCAGUUGAUAUCUUAUGUUUGUUACGUGAUUGGUGACUGAAGGUUUGUGUGUAUUUACCUAUGGCUUUACAGUUAGUUUUGGGACGUUGAUUUAUGGAUGGCUUAGCUACUAGCUUUGAAAUCUUUCUGGGUCAACACAGUACGUCAUUACUUUCCAGUUUCCCAUUAUCAGCGAUCUAGGGCGCCUCCUUAUUCACAGAUGUCGUUGUCGUCAAAAUUGGUGAGUUUAGUUAACUUUAACUAUGUGUUAUCGAAUAAUCUUUUAAUUUUGCAAAGUGCCAAUUUCCGUAGUUCUUCGCCCUCUCACAGACCUGCAGACAACUCUAGACACGAAAAUAACUUUGUUAAUGAGGAAAGGAGUUUCCUUUUAUGUUACCUUAAUUAUGCAAUAGCAGAAAAAAAUUUGUUUGGCAUUUUAGUCAACGAUUUCCAUGUUUUUGAAAAGAAAAAAUAUUCAACAAUAACGAAAAACUUUAUUUGUGUCAACGCAUCGCUGUAAAUGUUCAGAACGGUGUGAGUAGCGUUUGCCGGAGGACGAAAUCGGAUUGCAUAAAUUAACAAAAAAGUUUCUUAAACAUGCAAAUUUUGUUGUUUGACGUUUUCCUUGCUUUCUUGUCCAGAAAAAUAGAGCUAUUUUUUCUUAUUAUGUAUAAUUUUAACAUUUCAUAUAGAAUGAAAUCUGCAACGUUGUGUCUACAGACAGCAUGAACCAGCUGAUUUUGAUUUUGAAACCCUAGUUGAAUAACGUUGUGAUUACACCUACACUUUUGGCAAAAGUUGCUGUUCAUUAUAGUAUGUGGCACCAUUUAUUUAACUGUUUCUUCAGUGCAGCUGAAAACGUUGGUAUAAAAAAAAAAAAACAGUUUGAUCGAUAAUCUGUGAUUUAUUUACGAACGAUAUGGGCCUCGUUGAGUCCAUGUUUACGUACGAUCGAUCACGCAAUCAAUUCAAAGGCAAAACGUUGAUUCUUUUGGCUAUGAAUUCUGUGAAACAAUUCGAAUAAAACCACGACAGAGAGCCACUCCAAGACACUGGAUCGUCCAUUCGUGUGGCAUCAGCUGUUAUUGUUCUCUCGGCGUCUUCGUGCACAAUUUGAAGAACUACUAUUACACGAAUCGAGGCAAUCAGUCACGAAGAAAAGUAGGGCAGACGUCAGUGAAAAGUGAUCGAGAUGGAAAAAGUGGAGCGUUAGGGAGUGCUGAUUGAAGGAGCCCAUGUGAUGGAUUCCGAUCAUCGCUCAUCCCGACGGCUUCUUCGUGUCAAGGCUUGCUGCCGUUUUCGAUAAGAAGAUGGCCGCUUGACCUCCGAUGUUGCCCUUUUUCCCCGCCAUCUGAGACGAGAGUUUCGCUACUUCCCACCCAGGAGUAAAUGUUAAAAAUUCAAGACGAAGUCCAGUUGGAAAUUGCAGCCACCCAAAGGACGACUGGAACUCUCCCCCCUCCCAUGAGCCCAAAAGACGCGAAAUGGGACUGAACAUACCUUUGGAUUCCUUGUGAUGGAACGUCGGGGACGGAUAGACACACGACGGUGAGGAGCCCGGGAAACGUGACGAUGAAGACGACGAGGACGAUCCGGCCACCAAAGAUGAUGAGGUCGUUGUGGAUGUUGUAACUGUCGUGGCGCUUCGGCUGCUGUUACUACCCGACGGGCGGCUGCUAUUGGCACUAGACACAUUCGGUUGCAUAUGAUUUAGCACAUCGACGACGCAAUCAUCGGGAUCGCAAUCACGAAAUCCUUUGGCGAACGGAUUACUGGCUAUCUUCAAUUGGGUGGCGAGAUUAUUACCCGAUGAUUUUGAUAGGCAGUUACGGCUGUGAAUUUAGUCUCUGGGAAAAUGAACGUGCGAAAGUUUUCUGUUUGCGAGGCGUCCUCGGUUCUUUGGUUGAUGUAGACAACGUGGAAACGAGGCUGGUAGCGAUGCAUGGAAUUCAAUAUGAUCUGUAUCGUUGGAAGAUGGUGGAGGCAUGUAAGAAAAACAAAUACAACAACAGGAGAAAGAGAGAGUCGUGUGAUGCACUGGCAUCUUAGCGUGUUGCACGCCAUUUGGAACAAGAGCCCACUAGAGAGUUGAUGGCCAUCUAAUGACUUUGGCAGCUGUACGUAGUUAGGCCUUGCCGAGCUUUUUCUAGAUCCCAAUUCUUUUUCUUUUCUGUGCUGCUUGUGUACACUGUUGACCUUUUGGUAUGACCCUCUCUCUCUCAUCAUCGACUAGAGACAGGCUGUAGCCAUCAGUAGCCAAAACAAGGCAACAUCUCAUCUUCCACUUGAUGAUGAUGAUGAUGAUGAAGAAAAUAGAAAAUGGGAGAACUUACGUGUCCGUUGUCAUCCAGCUGGUUGUUGGUUAACUUGAGUUUGUCGAACGAGACGACUUGUUUGGUCCAUUGAGAACCUUUUGCUGGCGAGUCUGGAUGAACGUGAAUCCUCGGUGGAGAAUUAGGAUCGGAUUUACCAGCCACUACCCAACUGGAACUGCGAUCCAAGCAAAAUUCCCAUUUCUUUUUACUUUAGAUUUUCCCGUUUGAAAAAAAAAAGUGUUUUCACUACCUGUGAAAUGCGUAGCGAUAUCGCUUGUCAUCCACUGGCACAAAGUCCAUCAUGAGCAUGUAAUCCGAAUUGGCGUCUAGUCCGAAUAGGCGCACCUGGAGCGUCGGAAACAUCCGCCUAAAUGGCAACGAUCCCCACCUUUGGUGACAAUCAUUUCGGUGCCCAGUUCAUUGAAUUCAUCCCACAAAGCCUUCAUCUCGAGACUAGCGUUGACUCCCGACAAUUUGGAGUGAAGCGGCUUUUUUGUUUCUUGUUCCAAGUCUGAAAAAAACAAAAAACGGUGGGCCCAAAAACAAUAAGAUUCGUUUCUUUUCAUACUCUUUGCUCUCUCUAGACUUACUCGGACUAGGGCUAGACUGGCCUCUCUGUCUGUUGGAUCGUUCCUCCUUAGUCAAGGUGGACGAAUCGUGGGUGUGAUUCCCGCUACCCAGUGGCGACAAUCCCGACGAUUGUCCGAUAUGAUGUGGAGCUGAAGGUGUAGGAGAAGCCGAAGAUUUGUCGCAACCCUCCUGUUGCAUCAUCACCGGCGGACCGAUCCCUUGUUGAUGCGAUUCUGAUCGGUAAAAUUGAUGUUGCUCUUGGCCGCCGGCUGUGAGUAGACAAGCUGAAUAGACAACGGACAAACAAUCAACAUGUUACAUUGUCGUCUUAUCAAAUGUUUAUGAUGUAUUAGAAGAUUGUUUGUUUAUAUACCUUCCAUGGCUCGCAUGGGCGUACUGAAACUAGCGCUGUGAUGAUGGAGUGAAGCCGGACUGUUCCAAUCGUUCCAGCAAUCAGUUUGCUGUACUUGCUCGUGGCUACGUGUACUUGUCGUCGAAGCCAUUGUGUGUGGCACUGUGGAAUAAAACAAACAAGCACUGCCUGAAAAUCGACGGCCGUCGCACAAAAGCUAAACUAGCUGCACUGUCCCGGCGCCAAAAAAAAACGAAUCCUUGUCACCUGAAAUAUUUUAUAAAAUGUCCAAUUUUAUGUGUGUGUGUGUGUGCGUAAACUGUCACGAUAUGUGGUGAUAGACGUAGUCAAGGAUCAAACGAGAGAUUGGACUGCGCACUGAGCUGGACUAGGCUGGUAUAUCGUUGGUCGACGAAGAUGAAGACCAAGACGAAGACGAGAGAAGACUCAUCAGCGUUGUCUAUUCAACUGAGAAGUGGAUAUCCCCCUCCUUUCACGGAAAGUAAAGUCAAAGAAGGAGGAGCAGGACGAGAAGAAAAAGAGGAUUUUCCCUUUGGGUCGUCUGUCUGGGCAACAGACCGCUUCAUCACCGCCCACGCAGCAGCUGAUCUCUAUGCACUCGUAACACGGCAGCUAAAGCUAUCGCUCCGCCUACUCUACUUUUCCCUCCUCCUCUUCUUUAUUGACUCAUUCCUUUCUGCCUCUUGUCUGAUUGCUUCAUCCAAUUGAAUUCUGUUUAACUCUGAUGAUACGGUUCAUUGACGUGGAAUGUCCGCUUUCAUCGCGUCCAUCGUUUUUAGUUUCACCCAAUCUUCUUCCUCUUUUUUUUUUUGUCUCUCAGCUACACGAAAAAGCCAAACAGUCUUUUCGUUAAUUCAAUCAUUAGCGCUUGAUUAUCACCCUAGUCAGCGCAGGCUGCUGAUAGAGUUGUAUGCGUUUACCGCGUGUUCUUCUCCUUUAGAUGUUCUUCACGCGAGCGAUGAUGUCAUCUUCGAUCAUCGCACGGGAGCAGCACGAGUUGGCAUCGUAAAAUCCAUUUGUUUUCGACAAAUGUGUCAACUAAUACAGUGGCUCUUUGCCGACAUUUCCAAUUGCAUGAAGUUCCCCGAUGACCUCCCCCCCCCCCGGCAGCCUUCGUGACCCGCACCUGGCAUCCAUGAACCUACAGGCCGAACGCAACAAAAUUACUUAACGCUGCGCUUUGCUGUUAAAAUGGGAAAUUAUUCUACCCGCUAACGCCGAUGUACGUGAAUUUACUUCCCAUAAUGCACGCCUGCAACGCUUGUGGAAAGUCUCAGGUAAACACAGCGGCAGGAUACGUCUAUCUUUAGAUUCCAAGAUGCUGGCCAGAAGCUGUCGGGAAUCGUGUAUAGUAAAGGCAGCGCAGCUAUUGCCGAGCCGUGUGUAUACAAGGACCGUUUUAAAAAUAGGGCAGAGAGGGAGAACGGGAGUUAUCUCCUGCGCUGCCGCCGCCAUGUCGGAAGAGGGGACGUGAAGUUUUAUACGAUUCGAUGAUGUACAAAUGACUUUCAGACUUGGCAUACUUCACAAUCCCGGUUCUAAUGAGGAACUGUAGCUGUCCCGCGGGCUCUAGAUUUGUGGCUGAAACUCUUGUAGGAGCUGCACGGCAAUACGGUGUGGAUAUGAACGCUCCUCAGCAUCUCCUGCGCAUCCGGAGGGGGGCUAAAAUAUCUACUACCACUACUAUGCCACUAUUAUUGGAAAAUAACAUGAAGCAACAACUGGACUGAUUUAGUGAGACAACUCGGUUCACUGUCUCACAAAUGAAACGCCAUUCAAGUUUGGCACGUCAAGAGGUAGCAGUUUAGAAUCCCUUCUUCCUCGAAAGAGUCCAAUAUGUUCAUCCACACCUCCGUCGUUUUUAAUAAAUCGGCUCUGCGUGUUCAAGUUGCUUUCGUUGGAUGACGAAAGCGAAAUCCCUUCGCCCAUACUAUUACAGGUAAAGCGGUCGUUGGUUUGUUACAUCCGGUUUACUUGACUGAUGGUGGAUUCCUUGACCAGACGAAAGCUUUACAUCACGACUUACUAAACGGAGUCUCCCUUUUAUUGCACUCGUCAUGACCGUAGUAUAAACACUAGUGUCUGUCAGUUCUUCUUUAGCGCGUCAUCAACGCCAUACGAAAUCCAGAAGCAUUGACCUCUAUAAACACAUUGAAAGAGAUCGAACUCUCUGACCCUACGUCUCAUAUGUGGCAAAUGUUCUGAUAUAAUAAGACAAUGUUUAAAACUACCAGCAAAACGAGUUAAAAAAAAAGUGUUCAAUGUGUGGAAACAGAGGUUGAGUCGUGUCGCUGUCUUUACAAAAAUAAAACUAUUACUGAGUAA